ACGCGCAUGUGUGGACUCGUGCAUGAACGACAAGGAUACUUUCCCUUCUUUGAUUACGUCGAAUUAGUUGAUUAGGGUUAACACGUGGGCAAUAUCUUGUUUGCCGGUGAGACAAUUGGAAGACCUGUGGAUCUGAGGAAAACAAAUUGAAAUGACCUGCAGUUGUCUAGUCCCUGAGCUGGAAGAAGACAGACGAAUUAUAAUUACAAGUGGUUUCAGCCAAGCUCACACAGUGUGGAGUCGGAGGAAGACCUUUCAUAUUCUGGCUUGAUCAUCACCAGGCAGCGAUGAAACGGGACCCCCUAAUCGACUGAACCCCGACCCGCAAACACACAUCGCCCUGUGGAGCUUCCAACCACAGUGGGCACCGGCACGCACCACAGCAUGGUGCCUUACCCGAGUGAGCCACCUAGUAAGAGUGGCCUAUUUGGUAAUUAGGUAAUUACUGAAUCUGGCAAAGAUAUGGUAAUGCCGGGAGAGAGUUGAAAACUUCUCCUCCUGAGAGGGUGCGGCUCUCCCCCACAUAGAGAGAACACCCAAAAUGUUUGUAGAUAUUCAUAAAAUAUUCAGAAGAGCUCACAGAUACAGUAAAUCCAAAAUUCAAAUAUAGGGCAAUUACUGGAACCCCCCCCCCCCCUCCCUCUGCAGGAUCCAUCAAUAAUCCAUCUGCAGCCCACACACACAGUCAGUAACUUUGUUCGCUCUAUAUUUCAUUUUGAACGCGUCCUCUUGACUGCCCCACUGGUCUGUAGGCCUGGGAUGGCUUCAGCACCAUGGACAGCGGCCUCCUCACCUACAAUGCAGGCUGAGCAUGGCUGAGCUUCCCCUGCAGACCUGCACAGCUGGGGAUGGUCAAAAGGCUAAUCUGCCUCAGCUGCUGAGGUUAACCAAGCUUAGCUUUUCCGAACCUGCAGGAUUUCCCUGGCCAGAUGUGCUGGAUUUGUAUGUCCAUUUAUUUUUAGUUUUUUUUACCCAUUUAAAAGUGAAUAAAAUGGCAUUGGGAUUAUUUACCAAUGUUUCUGUGUUUGGGGUUUUCACCUAUUCUCACCUGUCACACCUGAUGUCAUGUCACCCACUUUGCUAAUUCUCACAUUGUAAACAGUGGUGAUUACUUCACUGCUUUUGGCUGCUGGGGGGUGGAAUGGUUAAGGUGACGUUUUAAAAAGGUCCCCUAUUGGGACCAGUUUUCAAAGCUCUGGUACAGAGCCUGGCCUUUGAUUUGGCCCCUCUUGCCUCUGCCUUUGCUGAAAUUAACACCCCCCCCCCCCCACCCCACCUCCCACCCCCACCCCCGCAUCGCCCCCCACCC